UAGCUAGUUGGUGAGGUAAAGGCUUACCAAGGCGACGAUCUGUAGCGGGUCUGAGAGGAUGAUCCGCCACACUGGAACUGAGACACGGUCCAGACUCCUACGGGAGGCAGCAGUGGGGAAUUUUGGACAAUGGGGGCAACCCUGAUCCAGCCAUGCCGCGUGAGUGAAGAAGGCCUUCGGGUUGUAAAGCUCUUUCGGCCGGGAAGAAAUCGCAUGGGCCAAUACCCUGUGUGGAUGACGGUACCGGAAUAAGAAGCACCGGCUAACUACGUGCCAGCAGCCGCGGUAAUACGUAGGGUGCGAGCGUUAAUCGGAAUUACUGGGCGUAAAGCGUGCGCAGGCGGUUUUGUAAGACAGGCGUGAAAUCCCCGGGCUUAACCUGGGAACUGCGUUUGUGACUGCAAGGCUAGAGUACGGCAGAGGGGGGUGGAAUUCCACGUGUAGCAGUGAAAUGCGUAGAGAUGUGGAGGAACACCAAUGGCGAAGGCAGCCCCCUGGGUCGAUACUGACGCUCAUGCACGAAAGCGUGGGUAGCAAACAGGAUUAGAUACCCUGGUAGUCCACGCCCUAAACUAUGUCAACUAGGUGUUGGGUGGGUAAAACCAUUUAGUACCGUAGCUAACGCGUGAAGUUGACCGCCUGGGGAGUACGGCCGCAAGGUUAAAACUCAAAGGAAUUGACGGGGACCCGCACAAGCGGUGGAUGAUGUGGAUUAAUUCGAUGCAACGCGAAAAACCUUACCUACCCUUGACAUGCCAGGAACUUGCCAGAGAUGGCUUGGUGCCCGAAAGGGAGCCUGGACACAGGUGCUGCAUGGCUGUCGUCAGCUCGUGUCGUGAGAUGUUGGGUUAAGUCCCGCAACGAGCGCAACCCUUGUCGUUAAUUGCCAUCAUUUAGUUGGGCACUUUAACGAGACUGCCGGUGACAAACCGGAGGAAGGUGGGGAUGACGUCAAGUCCUCAUGGCCCUUAUGGGUAGGGCUUCACACGUCAUACAAUGGUCGGUACAAAGGGUUGCCAAGCCGCGAGGCGGAGCCAAUCCCAGAAAGCCGAUCGUAGUCCGGAUUGCAGGCUGCAACUCGCCUGCAUGAAGUCGGAAUCGCUAGUAAUCGUGGAUCAGCAUGUCACGGUGAAUACGUUCCCGGGUCUUGUACACACCGCCCGUCACACCAUGGGAGCGGGUUCCGCCAGAAGUAGGUAGCCUAACCGCAAGGGGGGCGCUUACCACGGCGUGGUUCGUGACUGGGGUGAAGUCGGAACAAGGUAGCCGUAGGGGAACCUGCGGCUG
rnacentral:rRNA from 1 species